rnacentral:rRNA from 1 species
UAAGGAGGGGACUAGCAGUGUUCGGAAUUACUGAGCGUAAAGGGCGCGCAGGCGGCUGCUCAAGUCAGGCGUGAAAGGCCUGGGCUCAACCCGGGAAUUGCGGUUGAGACUGGGCUGGCUUGAGUGCGGGAGAGGAUGGUGGAAUUCCCAGUGUAGAGGUGAAAUUCGUAGAUAUUGGGAAGAACACCGGUGGCGAAGGCGGCCAUAUGGUCCGCAACUGACGCUGAGGCGCGAAAGCGUGGGGACCAAACAGG